rnacentral:rRNA from 1 species
GUCUACAACCAUGUCACCCUGAACGUGCCUGAUCUCAUCUGAUCUCGGAAGCUAAGCAGGUUCAGGCCUGUUUAGUACUUGGAUGGGAGACCACCUAGGAAUAUCAGGCGCUGUAAAGC